UACGGAGGGUGCAAGCGUUGUCCGGAUUUAUUGGGUUUAAAGGGUGCGUAGGCGGCUUUUUAAGUCAGUGGUGAAAUCCUCCAGCUUAACUGGAGUCGUGCCAUUGAUACUGGAAAGCUUGAGUACAGGCGAGGUUGGCGGAAUUGAAGGUGUAGCGGUGAAAUGCAUAGAUAUCUUCAAGAACACCGAUUGCGAAGGCAGCUAACUAGACUGUAACUGACGCUGAGGCACGAAAGUGUGGGGAUCGAACAGG
rnacentral:rRNA from 2 species